AGAGUUUGAUCCUGGCUCAGAGUGAACGCUGGCGGCGUGCCUAAUACAUGCAAGUCGAACGAUGAAAUUUCUAGCUUGCUAGAAAUGGAUUAGUGGCGCACGGGUGAGUAACGCAUAGGUCAUGUGCCUCUUAGUUUGGGAUAGCCAUUGGAAACGAUGAUUAAUACCAGAUACUCCCUACGGGGGAAAGAUUUAUCGCUAAGAGAUCAGCCUAUGUCCUAUCAGCUUGUUGGUAAGGUAAUGGCUUACCAAGGCUAUGACGGGUAUCCGGCCUGAGAGGGUGAACGGACACACUGGAACUGAGACACGGUCCAGACUCCUACGGGAGGCAGCAGUAGGGAAUAUUGCUCAAUGGGGGAAACCCUGAAGCAGCAACGCCGCGUGGAGGAUGAAGGUUUUAGGAUUGUAAACUCCUUUUGUUAGAGAAGAUAAUGACGGUAUCUAACGAAUAAGCACCGGCUAACUCCGUGCCAGCAGCCGCGGUAAUACGGAGGGUGCAAGCGUUACUCGGAAUCACUGGGCGUAAAGAGCGCGUAGGCGGGAUAGUCAGUCAGGUGUGAAAUCCUAUGGCUUAACCAUAGAACUGCAUUUGAAACUACUAUUCUAGAGUGUGGGAGAGGUAGGUGGAAUUCUUGGUGUAGGGGUAAAAUCCGUAGAGAUCAAGAGGAAUACUCAUUGCGAAGGCGACCUGCUGGAACAUUACUGACGCUGAUUGCGCGAAAGCGUGGGGAGCAAACAGGAUUAGAUACCCUGGUAGUCCACGCCCUAAACGAUGGAUGCUAGUUGUUGGAGGGCUUAGUCUCUCCAGUAAUGCAGCUAACGCAUUAAGCAUCCCGCCUGGGGAGUACGGUCGCAAGAUUAAAACUCAAAGGAAUAGACGGGGACCCGCACAAGCGGUGGAGCAUGUGGUUUAAUUCGAAGAUACACGAAGAACCUUACCUAGGCUUGACAUUGAGAGAAUCCGCUAGAAAUAGUGGAGUGUCUAGCUUGCUAGACCUUGAAAACAGGUGCUGCACGGCUGUCGUCAGCUCGUGUCGUGAGAUGUUGGGUUAAGUCCCGCAACGAGCGCAACCCCCUUUCUUAGUUGCUAACAGGUCAUGCUGAGAACUCUAAGGAUACUGCCUCCGUAAGGAGGAGGAAGGUGGGGACGACGUCAAGUCAUCAUGGCCCUUACGCCUAGGGCUACACACGUGCUACAAUGGGGUGCACAAAGAGAAGCAAUACUGCGAAGUGGAGCCAAUCUUCAAAACACCUCUCAGUUCGGAUUGUAGGCUGCAACUCGCCUGCAUGAAGCUGGAAUCGCUAGUAAUCGCAAAUCAGCCAUGUUGCGGUGAAUACGUUCCCGGGUCUUGUACUCACCGCCCGUCACACCAUGGGAGUUGUGUUUGCCUUAAGUCAGGAUGCUAAACCAGCUACUGCCCACGGCACACACAGCGACUGGGGUGAAGUCGUAACAAGGUAACCGUAGGUGAACCUGCGGUUG
rnacentral:rRNA from 1 species